AUCCUCACCAUCAUCCGAUGCCCCCGGUGCACAUAUGAGAGUGUUGGGGUCAAACUAACAGUACCUGGACCCAUCAUUAUUUCCGGCUGAGGUUGAGGGGGCACACCCCUCAUCCCUUAAGAGAAUCAAUCUUGGUUUCGAGGAGAGUAUGUCGCAAGACUGAACUAAAGAAAUGACGGAAGGGCACCACCAGGGGGAGCUGCGGCUUAAUUGACUCAACACGGGAAACUUACCAGGUCCAGACAUGGUAAGGAUUGACAGAUUGAUAGCAUCAAUCUUGAUUCUAUGGGUGGUGGUGCAUGGCCGUUCUUAGUUGGUGGAGUGAUUUGUCUGGUUAAUUCCGAUAACGAACGAGACCUUAACCUGCUAACUAGAUCACCAUCUGACUUACAGAAGUUACCAUCUUAGAGGGACUAUGUAAAUCAAUUACAUGGAAGUUUGAGGCAAUAACAGGUCAGUGAUGCCCUUAUAUGUCACGGGCGGCGCGCGCGCUGACACUGAUGCAUACAACAAGUGCCUAACCAGACAUGGUAUGGCAAUCUCGAAUAUGCAUCGUGGUAGAGAGGAUAGAUCUUUGCAAUUAUAGAUCUUGAACGAGGAAUUCCUAGUAAGUGCAAGUCAUCAUCUUGCAUUGACUAUGUCCCUGCCCUUUGUACACACCGCCCGUCGCACCUACCGAUACCAAUCACCGGUGAACCUUUUGGACCUUUACGGGGAAGUGGCGGGGGCCACUGCCUUAUAAAUCUAACCUUUCGCAGGCCCGAAUGCG
rnacentral:rRNA from 1 species